ensembl:snRNA U5 U5 spliceosomal RNA
GUACUCUGGUUUCUCUUCGGAUCAUGUAAAUCUUUCAUCUUUUACUGAAGAUUCUCACAGAGAGCAACAUUUCUGAAUUUCAACCCAAUAUUUUGUUGUCCCACCCAAGCUGCUUUAAGUACUUGCUACAGGGAUG